GACGAACGCUGGCGGCGUGCUUAACACAUGCAAGUCGAACGGUGAAGCGAGUGCUUGCACUCGUGGAUCAGUGGCGAACGGGUGAGUAACACGUGAGUAACCUGCCCAUCACUCUGGGAUAAGCACUGGAAACGGUGUCUAAUACUGGAUACGACCAACCCUUGCAUGGGGUGUUGGUGGAAAGAUUUAUCGGUGAUGGAUGGACUCGCGGCCUAUCAGCUUGUUGGCGGGGUAAUGGCCCACCAAGGCGACGACGGGUAGCCGGCCUGAGAGGGUGACCGGCCACACUGGGACUGAGACACGGCCCAGACUCCUACGGGAGGCAGCAGUGGGGAAUAUUGCACAAUGGGCGAAAGCCUGAUGCAGCGACGCCGGGUGAGGGAUGACGGCCUUCGGGUUGUAAACCUCUUUCAGCAGGGAAGAAGCGAAAGUGACGGUACCUGCAGAAGAAGCACCGGCUAACUACGUG
rnacentral:rRNA from 1 species